GACGAACGCUGGCGGCGUGCUUAACACAUGCAAGUCGAACGGAAAGGCCCUGCUUUUGUGGGGUGCUCGAGUGGCGAACGGGUGAGUAACACGUGAGUAACCUGCCCUUGACUUUGGGAUAACUUCAGGAAACUGGGGCUAAUACCGGAUAGGAGCUCCUGCUGCAUGGUGGGGGUUGGAAAGUUUCGGCGGUUGGGGAUGGACUCGCGGCUUAUCAGCUUGUUGGUGGGGUAGUGGCUUACCAAGGCUUUGACGGGUAGCCGGCCUGAGAGGGUGACCGGCCACAUUGGGACUGAGAUACGGCCCAGACUCCUACGGGAGGCAGCAGUGGGGAAUAUUGCACAAUGGGCGGAAGCCUGAUGCAGCAACGCCGCGUGCGGGAUGACGGCCUUCGGGUUGUAAACCGCUUUCGCCUGUGACGAAGCGUGAGUGACGGUAAUGGGUAAAGAAGCACCGGCUAACUACGUGCCAGCAGCCGCGGUGAUACGUAGGGUGCGAGCGUUGUCCGGAUUUAUUGGGCGUAAAGGGCUCGUAGGUGGUUGAUCGCGUCGGAAGUGUAAUCUUGGGGCUUAACCCUGAGCGUGCUUUCGAUACGGGUUGACUUGAGGAAGGUAGGGGAGAAUGGAAUUCCUGGUGGAGCGGUGGAAUGCGCAGAUAUCAGGAGGAACACCAGUGGCGAAGGCGGUCCUCUGGGCCUUUCCUGACGCUGAGGAGCGAAAGCGUGGGGAGCGAACAGGCUUAGAUACCCUGGUAGUCCACGCUGUAAACGGUGGGUACUAGGUGUGGGGUCCAUUCCACGGGUUCCGUGCCGUAGCUAACGCUUUAAGUACCCCGCCUGGGGAGUACGGCCGCAAGGCUAAAACUCAAAGGAAUUGACGGGGCCCCGCACAAGCGGCGGAGCAUGCGGAUUAAUUCGAUGCAACGCGUAGAACCUUACCUGGGUUUGACAUGGAUCGGGAGCGCCCAGAGAUGGGUGUGCCUCUUUUGGGGUCGGUUCACAGGUGGUGCAUGGCUGUCGUCAGCUCGUGUCGUGAGAUGUUGGGUUAAGUCCCGCAACGAGCGCAACCCUUGUUCACUGUUGCCAGCACGUUAUGGUGGGGACUCAGUGGAGACCGCCGGGGUCAACUCGGAGGAAGGUGGGGAUGACGUCAAGUCAUCAUGCCCCUUAUGUCCAGGGCUUCACGCAUGCUACAAUGGCUGGUACAGAGAGUGGCGAGCCUGUGAGGGUGAGCGAAUCUCGGAAAGCCGGUCUCAGUUCGGAUUGGGGUCUGCAACUCGACCUCAUGAAGUCGGAGUCGCUAGUAAUCGCAGAUCAGCAACGCUGCGGUGAAUACGUUCCCGGGGCU
rnacentral:rRNA from 1 species